AUUGAACGCUGGCGGCAUGCCUUACACAUGCAAGUCGAACGGCAGCACGGGGGCAACCCUGGUGGCGAGUGGCGAACGGGUGAGUAAUGCAUCGGAACGUGUCCUCCUGGGGGGGAUAACCCGUCGAAAGAUUGGCUAAUACCGCAUGAGAUCGCAAGAUGAAAGCGGGGGACCGCAAGGCCUCGCGCGAGAGGAGCGGCCGAUGCCGGAUUAGCUAGCUGGUGGGGUAAAAGCCUACCAAGGCGGCAGUCCGUAGCUGGUCUGAGAGGACGGACGGGGAACCGGGAAAUGAGGCGGGGCGCAGACUCCUACGGGAGGCAGCGGGACGGACUCUUCCGCGAUGGAGGAAAGGCAGACGGGGCAACGCCGCGUGAGCGAUGAAGGCCUGCGGGUCGUAAAACUCUGUUGUUAGGGAGGAACAAGUGUCGGAGUAACUGCCGGUACCUUGACGGUACCUAACCAGAAAGCCACGGCUAACUACGUGCCAGCAGCCGCGGUAAUAC
rnacentral:rRNA from 1 species